AGUGAACGCUGGCGGUAGGCCUAACACAUGCAAGUCGAACGGCAGCACAGUAAGAGCUUGCUCUUACGGGUGGCGAGUGGCGGACGGGUGAGGAAUACAUCGGAAUCUACUUUUUCGUGGGGGAUAACGUAGGGAAACUUACGCUAAUACCGCAUACGACCUACGGGUGAAAGCAGGGGAUCUUCGGACCUUGCGCGAUUGAAUGAGCCGAUGUCGGAUUAGCUAGUUGGCGGGGUAAAGGCCCACCAAGGCGACGAUCCGUAGCUGGUCUGAGAGGAUGAUCAGCCGCACUGGAACUGAGACACGGUCCAGACUCCUACGGGAGGCAGCAGUGGGGAAUAUUGGACAAUGGGCGCAGGCCUGAUCCAGCCAUACCGCGUGGGUGAAGAAGGCCUUCGGGUUGUAAAGCCCUUUUGUUGGGAAAGAAAAGCAGCAGGUUAAUACCCCGCUGUUCUGACGGUACCCAAAGAAUAAGCACCGGCUAACUUCGUG
rnacentral:rRNA from 1 species